CAGUCGCCGCGGUAAUACGUAGGUGGCAAGCGUUGUCCGGAAUUAUUGGGCGUAAAGGGCUCGCAGGCGGUUUCUUAAGUCUGAUGUGAAAGCCCCCGGCUCAACCGGGGAGGGUCAUUGGAAACUGGGAAACUUGAGUGCAGAAGAGGAGAGUGGAACUCCACGUGUAGCGGUGAAAUGCGUAGAGAUGUGGAGGAACACCAGUGGCGAAGGCGACUCUCUGGUCUGUAACAGACGCUGAGGAGCGAAAGCGUGGGGAGCGAACAGGAUUAGAUACCCCCGUAGUCCCUGUCUCUUAUAC
rnacentral:rRNA from 1 species